CCCGCAGGGGGCGCUGCAGGAAUCACGGUGGUUCUGCAAUGACGUCACUAUAGUGGGCGGAGACUGCGGACGUGAACCCGGAAGCUGUACGGCAGGUAACAGUUGCUGAGGAAACUUGGAUUUCGGGGUUUUAACUGAAGUUCAUGGUGUUUAGAGGAGGGACUGAUGGACACCAGGAUGAAACCACAGACGGAUGAGACACGACGAGAGGAAGUUGGGUGCCAGGACUUCUCGAGUUGGAUUAAGGCGGUUACAUCCAGUAAAUGACUACUGAUUCCCAGAGGAGCUGGUGCCGGUGGACCGACGGGAUGGGCGGAGCUGGGACACCGGUAGUUUACUGAUGUGGAUUACAAGUUAUGAACUGAAGUAGCUGAAACGAAUCAAAAGUUCUUGAGGAUUUACGCUACUCGGAGGUUGGAUUUGACUGAUAAAAGCUCUUACUGGAUUUUAAAAUUGCCUGAGGAGGAUGAAAGGGAUUGACGCUCCAGUUUUAGACCACCGGACAAGAUCACAGUCAACAGUCGACAAAACAGGGAAACUCUGCUGCUGACCUCAAGAUUCCUCGAGGAGGAGCUGAGCGAGUGUGUGGGCGUGUGACCUCACAGCAGGACCCUUCAACUCUCACUGUAAUGCCUCGCCUACAGCAAGGAUCCCAGUCGGCCCAGGAGUUACGAGGUGGUGACAGGAUGGACUGACGAAUAACCAAAGAACUACAGACUCUUCACAACCUGCUCAAACUCUUGGUACAGGACCUCACCACACGGGUCAAGAAGGUUUCUGUCUCAUUUCUACUCUGAAGCUCACCUUCUCCUGCUCAAACUGCUGACAAAUGUUUCUGCUGCUCUAAAGUCUGGUCUCCAGAACUUCCUAAAAACUCUCAAAGUCUCUUCUGCUGCAGGUUGCUUUGUAGAACUGUCGCAGAAAACCUCACUAAACCACAUGGAGGGGCCUCAAGAUAGUCGUCCAAAUGAAAUCGUACAAAAACCAAACUAGCACAACCCAAACACUAAACUCUCCUGCAGCCUACCAGAGAACCUCUGAGAACAGAGAAUCAGGACAGGAACUCUUACCUUCUGGACAACCAACAUUGGUUCUCAAACAAGAAUACAGAAUGUGUCUGACCAAAAACCUCUAAAGACUCACUACAGCCAAGAUAAAGACACAACUCAGCUGCACCAAAUCCACUAAUCACUGCACACAUUAGGACCAUGUGCUAACUGUGGCUAAAGAACCACAUUUACCAAGACAACUAUCCAGUACAAAGCCAUAAAACACACCAAGAAACACAUUAAAGACGAUUUUACUGCUGGAAGCUGCAAGCCAACGCCUAAAGAACAAACUGAAGCAAUGGAGCUAAACCUGAUUCAAUGGUGAAUAGAAGCAGAGGAAAUGUUUGUCUGCAGCUAAAUAAAGCAGGAAGACACUGAGCUGCUCAGGUGUUCCUGAUGACACCAAGCAGCCACCUGGACAGCCAAUAAGAACACAGCUUCCUGGAAGUCCAGAGGGCUGGGUUAGUGAAGGAAAUUUAAUUUAAAGUUGAAGCAGAAAGUUAACAAAGAAAGUUGAAAACCACCUUCUGAUACCUGAAAUCUCUGAGUUUUCACACAAAGAACACCUGAACAUGUCAAACUGGUUCCAUAGUAGAACCAUCAUUGUAAAAAUGUCAUAGUAUGGUGUGUUGCUCAAAAAACAUUAGGACCCGGCUGUCAGGGGACAAACAUGUAAGAAACAUGAGAACAGAGAGAAUCCAACCAGUAGGUCACAGUUUAUCAUCCCCCAGUCAUCUCCUGAAGUCCAUAUGGUGAGAGACAUCAGUAUCUGGUUGUUAAUUUACCAGAGGAUGCUUAUAAUCAUGCUGAUGUGGUCUGUACUCUACAGUAUUUUAGUGACUCAAUAAAUGCCUAAGUUGUUUUUUUUUUAAAUGCUUUUUAGUUUUUAAUAAACAUUUAACAGCCUA